rnacentral:rRNA from 1 species
GACGAACGCUGGCGGUGUGCUUAACACAUGCAAGUCGAACGGUAAGGCCCUUUCGGGGGUACACGAGUGGCGAACGGGCGAGUAACACGUGAGUAACCUGCCCUCAUCUCUGGGAUAACAGUCGGAAACGGUUGCGAAUACUGGAUAUGAGCUUGCAAGGCAUCUUGUGGGUUGGAAAGAUUUUUUUUGGUGGGGGAUGGACUCGCGGCCUAUCAGCUUGUUGGUGAGGGAGUGGCUCACCAAGGCGUCGACGGGUAGCCGGCCUGAGAGGGCGAGCGGGCACAUUGGGACUGUGAUACGGCCCACACUCCUCCGCGAGGCAGAAGUGGGGAAUAUUGCACAAUGGACGGAAGUCUGAGGCAGCAACGCCGCGUGCGCGAUGACGGCCUUCGGGUUGUAAACCGCUUUCAAGUGUGACGAAGCUUUUUUGUGACGGUAGCAGUAGAAGAAGCACCGGCUAACUACGUG